ACGAACGCUGGCGGCAGGCUUAACACAUGCAAGUCGAACGGAUCCUUCGGGAUUAGUGGCAGACGGGUGAGUAACGCGUGGGAACGUACCCUUUGCUACGGAAUAACUCAGGGAAACUUGAGCUAAUACCGUAUGUGCCCUACGGGGGAAAGAUUUAUCGGCAAAGGAUCGGCCCGCGUUGGAUUAGCUAGUUGGUGGGGUAAUGGCCUACCAAGGCGACGAUCCAUAGCUGGUCUGAGAGGAUGAUCAGCCACACUGGGACUGAGACACGGCCCAGACUCCUACGGGAGGCAGCAGUGGGGAAUAUUGGACAAUGGGCGCAAGCCUGAUCCAGCCAUGCCGCGUGAGUGACGAAGGUCUUAGGAUUGUAAAGCUCUUUCACCGGUGAAGAUAAUGACGGUAGCCGGAGAAGAAACCCCGGCGAACUUCGU
rnacentral:rRNA from 1 species